CCUACGGGGGGCAGCAGUGGGGAAUAUUGCACAAUGGGCGCAAGCCUGAUGCAGCCAUGCCGCGUGUGUGAAGAAGGCCUUCGGGUUGUAAAGCACUUUCAGCGGGGAGGAAGGCGUUAAGGUUAAUAACCUUGGCGAUUGACGUUACCCGCAGAAGAAGCACCGGCUAACUCCGUGCCAGCAGCCGCGGUAAUACGGAGGGUGCAAGCGUUAAUCGGAAUUACUGGGCGUAAAGCGCACGCAGGCGGUCUGUCAAGUCGGAUGUGAAAUCCCCGGGCUCAACCUGGGAACUGCAUUCGAAACUGGCAGGCUAGAGUCUUGUAGAGGGGGGUAGAAUUCCAGGUGUAGCGGUGAAAUGCGUAGAGAUCUGGAGGAAUACCGGUGGCGAAGGCGGCCCCCUGGACAAAGACUGACGCUCAGGUGCGAAAGCGUGGGGAGCAAACAGGAUUAAUACCCCGGUAGUC
rnacentral:rRNA from 1 species